CAGAUCAUCUUCGGUUGGGUGCGAAUAGCCGAGUCUUUCCAAGACCUGUGCUUCCUGCUGGAUGUUGUCCUCGCUGGUUAUUCAAGCAUUUUUGUGCGUUACAGGUAGACCCGGCUAGCAUACAUAUAUUCCAUAAUAUUAAAAGAAUCCAGUCUUUGCUUGAUGUUCCAAAUGUUCAAGCUAUCGAUCUCAGUAGCCACUGGAUACUACCACAUCAAAGGAUACAAGGAUCGACCAAGCGUUAGCCCUCAAGAUAACCGCGACCCUGAGCGGAAUAUCUAUUGACACUGGCAAUUAUUAUUCGAUCAUCCGUAAAGCAUUUUGAAAAAGUGUUUUUGAAAAGAACUUUCAUGAGAUACCUUUACACAUAAACAGAUGUAAAAAAAAAAUAAAAAUUCUGAUAGAACA